UCCCAGUUCAGAUUGCAGUCUGCAACUCGACUGCAUGAAGUCGGAAUCGCUAGUAAUCGCGGAUCAGCAUGCCGCGGUGAAUACGUUCCCGGGCCUUGUACACACCGCCCGUCACACCAUGAGAGUCGGGAACACCCGAAGUCCGUAGCCUAACCGCAAGGGGGCGCGGCCGAAGGUGGGUUCGAUAAUUGGGGUGAAGUCGUAACAAGGUAAC
rnacentral:rRNA from 1 species